rnacentral:rRNA from 1 species
GAUGAACGCUGGCGGCGUGCCUAACACAUGCAAGUCGAGCGAUUCUCUUCGGAGAAGAGCGGCGGACGGGUGAGUAACGCGUGGGUAACCUGCCCUGUACACACGGAUAACAUACCGAAAGGUAUGCUAAUACGAGAUGAUAUGCUUUUAUCGCAUGGUAGAAGUAUCAAAGCUUUUGCGGUACAGGAUGGACCCGCGUCUGAUUAGCUAGUUGGUAAGGUAACGGCUUACCAAGGCGACGAUCAGUAGCCGACCUGAGAGGGUGAUCGGCCAAAUUGGAACUGAGACACGGUCCAAACUCCUACGGGAGGCAGCAGUGGGGAAUAGUGCACAAUGGGCGAAAGCCUGAUGCAGCAACGCCGCGUGAGCGACGAAGGCCUUCGGGUCGUAAAGCUCUGUCCUCAAGGAAGAUAAUGACGGUACUUGAGGAGGAAGCCCCGGCUAACUACGUGCCAGCCGCCGCGGUAAUAC